rnacentral:misc_RNA from 1 species
AGAGAGUUCAGUGCGCGCAACAGUAAGCAGAGUAUGUCAUCUAGGAAACUCGUCAUUGGUUCACAAAUCAACGUCGUCGCAAAGGUUUGCCGUAAAUUUUUGGACCCAAAGAUGAUUGUGCUCUGUUUCCCGUUGCGGCGAACAUGAAGAUAGUGAAGCUGAUUUUACACCCCUUAAGCCGGGACUGUAUCCCUUUUGUUUGCGACUUAAAAAAUGCUACUCGUAUCUAGUAAUAGCUGGCUACGUUUUACUAUGCUG